CACAUGCAAGUCGAGCGGAUGAAGGGAGCUUGCUCCUGGAUUCAGCGGCGGACGGGUGAGUAAUGCCUAGGAAUCUGCCUGGUAGUGGGGGAUAACGUCCGGAAACGGGCGCUAAUACCGCAUACGUCCUGAGGGAGAAAGUGGGGGAUCUUCGGACCUCACGCUAUCAGAUGAGCCUAGGUCGGAUUAGCUAGUUGGUGGGGUAAAGGCCUACCAAGGCGACGAUCCGUAACUGGUCUGAGAGGAUGAUCAGUCACACUGGAACUGAGACACGGUCCAGACUCCUACGGGAGGCAGCAGUGGGGAAUAUUGGACAAUGGGCGAAAGCCUGAUCCAGCCAUGCCGCGUGUGUGAAGAAGGUCUUCGGAUUGUAAAGCACUUUAAGUUGGGAGGAAGGGCAGUAAGUUAAUACCUUGCUGUUUUGACGUUACCAACAGAAUAAGCACCGGCUAACUUCGUGCCAGCAGCCGCGGUAAUACGAAGGGUGCAAGCGUUAAUCGGAAUUACUGGGCGUAAAGCGCGCGUAGGUGGUUCAGCAAGUUGGAUGUG
rnacentral:rRNA from 1 species